rnacentral:lncRNA from 15 species
CAUUCUGCAGCAGCCUGUCAAGCCUGGGGCACUCUGUCCUGGGGCUGCAGACCACUGGAGGGGUGUCUUUGAGAAUGGGCAUCUGAUCCUGCAGUCCCUCAGAUAUGUGAGAGCUGAUGGUGCAUUCUUCCUGUCCAGGCUAGAGAGCUUUGAACUGAGCUGCAUGAGACAGAGUCAUCAAGGCCAAACUGGAUUAUACCUGUAUUAUACUUGUGCUUUAAAGUGGAUAUAACCAAUAUUUUACAAUAGCAAUGUAUGAAAUGACAAUGUGAAAACAAUUGUUAAAGGUGUCACUUGUAGUAAUGAACCGACAGAGAUCUGUCACCCAUAUCUGCAGCUCACCUCGGCUUUACAGAGCGUUAUAGUGAAUUUCUGGUCUGUAAAUUUGCUGUUUCGAUUCACCCUCACCGUUGUAAUAGCAAAAAAAAGCCAUUGUACACUACCUGCUCAGGUAGUUAGUGACUAGCUGGUGAACAUAGUAGAGCAGAAAUAUCCCUCAGGAGGUGUUAGAGACCAUAAACAGAUCUAAAGGGGGUGAAUAUUAGACAUGCAGACUUAAGCAAUCUUUAUAGCCAUGCUGUAGGUGUCCAUGGCAGGCUAUGGGGAGUGAUUUCUAGCUCUACUUAGGCUUUACCUGUUGGCUCUCAAAGUUUUCAUCAGAUCAUUCUGUAUACCUGAAGGAAUCGUUUAGAUUUCACAUUCGCUUUAUGAUACAGAGUAGCAACAGUGCACUGAAAUGACUCUGCUAAAUGAGAAAGAGUGGUGAGAUUAAUAGCUUUUCUUUAACUUGCAAACAAACACUCCUAGCACCAAAAACAAAUACUGUAAGUUUAGCUCUUUAAGUCAAAACUUUUGAGAAGGAGGUCCUACACACUGUUAUAGUUUUGAAAAAAAGUGUGUAAUCUGCGGUUUAGCACUCCACAUACCUUACAAAGGCAUACAUCUUUGAGUCUGAAAGCAAACACAGACGGUAGUUCCCUGGAAAUCACGGUAGCUGUUGUAGCAAACUGCAUAGGACAAUGAAUCUUCCUCAUUACUUUGCAGGGGGACUAACCGGCUGUAUUUUUGCACACACGCCGGUUUGUGCCUGUUAAAGUGAGGUUAUGGGUUUCAUUUGAGCGUGUGUGCAUACUAGAUUAGUGGCAGCAAAUGUGCAAAGAUGUUUAGUGUCAAGUUACACAUUCACUGCAACUAUAUAAUAAACUGAGACUUCUUUUGUGGCAAAUUUCUAUACAGCUGUUAUGGAGUUCCACUGGGGUUUCUCUGUUGACAGUAUCAUAAAAGUGAUACUGUAACAAACUUUGGAUAAGAAAUCCUCCUGGUGAAGCAGGUUUCCUUCUUCCCUCAUGCUUACUGGCAUUAAACACUCAACUACAGACUUUGUUCACUUCUAGUUUCUGAGAACUGCGGUCCAAACUCUCAUUUAUUGACCUACUUUCGAGGUGGUGCACAGAUGAUAUAUGGAGCAGGCCUUUUUGGAGAACAGGG